UACGUAGGUGGCAAGCGUUGUCCGGAAUUAUUGGGCGUAAAGCGCGCGCAGGCGGUUUCUUAAGUCUGAUGUGAAAGCCCACGGCUUAACCGUGGAAGGUCAUUGGAAACUGGGAGACUUGAGUGCAGAAGAGAAGAGCGGAAUUCCACGUGUAGCGGUGAAAUGCGUAGAGAUGUGGAGGAACACCAGUGGCGAAGGCGGCUCUUUGGUCUGUAACUGACGCUGAGGCGCGAAAGCGUGGGGAGCAAACAGG
rnacentral:rRNA from 1 species